UUUUCCCUCUUUCAUCUUCCAUCGAGAAAUCCUCCAUCGAGCAUCAUCUUCCAUCGAGAAAUCCUCCAUCGAGCGUCAUCUUCCAUCCUGCAGUCUGAUUAGAGAUCACGAAACAUUGCAGAAAGUAGCAGUCUCCCUCUUUGCUACUGUGAUGCUGUGGUGCUGCCAUUGCUGAGAAAAGCAAUUCAAAAUGGAACAAAGGCAGCAAAGAUGCAUAAAAGAGGAAGGAAUCUGAUCAGGUAAUUAGAUUGUUUUGGGGGUAUCUUCAGUGUGCCUUUGUUAUUGACCCAGAAGAUUUUGGCAAUGGCUUCAAUGGACUGGUUUUGCAUCUUUCAACAGACAAUAUCCUCGCUUAUUGUCUAUUGUCUAUUCAAGCUUCUAAAUGAGGUGGGUGAGAUUAUGUUAUGCAUUACCAAAACAUCUGUUGGACGAUCCAUGCAUUUCCUUUUGUUACAAAAGAUUAGGUAGACAGUGGGGUGUGUACUAACAGGCUAACCCAAAACAUCUUCCUUCUUCCUUCUUCUUCAUUCAUUUUUUUUUGUUUUUUUGUUUUUUUGCUUUCUUUUUUGGUUUUGUGUUGUGUGCGUGAGCGUGCACACGUGCCAGGAUGUACAUCAGCCAAUAUGUGCACAAUGCAUACUGGUUUCGACUGAUACUUUACACCUUGCUGACACAUGAGAUUGAGGGGAUGGAAUCAUUAACUGAAGUGAAGUAAGCCAAAGAUCUUAAAUCAACAAUGUAGUGAAUGCAUCCACUAGAGUUGCAUAGUUAACAGAAGCUCUGUGUUAUCUA